AGUUUGCAGCACUGCUGCGGCCGCCACGAGAAGCUCGUCCAGGGAGGAGGCUGCUCCAGCCCUGAGCCCCACGCGACUCCCGGAAAGGUGUACUGGCCAGACUCAGCGCCCUGAGGACGGGGUCGGAACCCAGCGCCCAGGAAGCUCCCCUCCCCCCGACCAAGGACCUCCCUCCAGGGUGUGCCCGGAGGAGGUCAAGACUCCACUGCCCUGAAGCAAACAAGGCGUCCAGCCCGAGCCAGGGUCACACGCCCAACAGGUAGGAUCCAGCAACCCCUGCGCAGCAGCCCCCGCCAUGCGAGGGAGGACCCGGAGUUGAGCGUGGCCCUGCCUGACAUCUGACCCCGCCGUCAGGAGCUCCACCAGGUCAGGGCUGCUCAGCUGACCCCACAGCCCCACCAGGCAUGGUCAGCACGGUGCCGAAUGCAGGCCUGGAAAGGGAAUAAAGGAGGCCCUGGGGAGGGGCCUUGGUGCUUCAUCCCAAGCCAA
rnacentral:lncRNA from 1 species